rnacentral:piRNA from 1 species
AAGACUUGCAGGCCCAAGCCAGGAUC